GUGCAUGGCAUCUUUAUACAAAGAAACUAACUGGCCCAGCAAGUUGGAAGCAGUGAAAUAUGACUUCAUACAGAAACUUGUUGAUCGUGGUUUCAGUUUCAAGGACAAAAUUUCAAAACUUCAGUUUGACAGACAUCUGGGCAGUGCUAUUUAUAACCAAGAUUGUGAAAGAGAUACUUCCAGUUUCGGAAGUCAGUUUGACCAAGGAGUUCAAAUAAAAGACCAGUCCGAGAUGGACAUGCUGUUCCUGCAAGACUUGAUGGAUGACCAAGCAUCUUCAGACAGAAAACAGACAGAUGUUCACUCCCACAGCGCUCCACAUGUGGAAAAGGCUGGCAAAGUGCUUUUGGCACUUGUGGAAGUGAAUCUUCUGGUCUUAAAAGAGGAGGAUCCUUCAUCCCAAAUUAAAAUUCUGAAUGGCUUACUGAAAGUCACUGACAAAAACCCAACAUACAUGUAAAGAAGUGCACAUUGACUUCCCUGAAAUGGCAAAAGAGGAGGAAUCUGCUCCAAAUGACUUUUAUGUGUUUAAAGGCCAAAAUAAACCGAUAGUAAUUCAUAUUCCUCUUUUCA
ensembl:lncRNA